GGUGACAGAGUGAGAGAGGGGGUGACUAGUGGCCGAGUGAGGGAGGGAGAGGGUGACUAGUGACAGAGUGAGGAAGGGGGUGACACAGUGAUAGUCACCCCAUUCCUCCCUCUGUCACUAAUCACCACCUCCCUCACUCUCACUAGUCACCCCUUCCCUCCCUCACUCUGUCACUAGUCACACCCUCCAUCUCUCUGUCACUAGUCACAC